UGCCCGGUGCUCGAACGGUUAAGAGGAUGCGUCAGUCGCAAGAUGAAGCGUUGAAUUGAAGCCCGAGUAAACGGCGGCCGUAACUAUAACGGUCCUAAGGUAGCGAAAUUCCUUGUCGGUUAAAUACCGACCUGCAUGAAUGGCGUAACGAGAUGGGAGCUGUCUCAACCAGAGAUUCAGUGAAAUUGUAGUGGAGGUGAAAAUUCCUCCUACCCGCGGCAAGACGGAAAGACCCCGUGGACCUUUACUACAACUUAGCACUGCUAAUGGGAAUAUCAUGCGCAGGAUAGGUGGGAGGCUUUGAAGUAAGGGCUUUGGCUCUUAUGGAGCCAUCCUUGAGAUACCACCCUUGAUGUUUCUGUUAGCUAACUGGCCUGUGUUAUCCACAGGCAGGACAAUG
rnacentral:rRNA from 1 species